GUGCUAAGGUAGCAUAAUCAUUUGCCAUUUAAUUGGUGGCUGGAAUGAAUGAAUAUACGAGAGCAUAACUGUCUCUUAUUUAUAAAUAAAAAUUGACCUUCAAGUGAAGAGACUUGAAUCUUUAAAAAAGACGAAAAGACCCUAUAGAGCUUUACUUAUAAC
rnacentral:rRNA from 1 species